AUUGAACGCUGGCGGCAGGCCUAACACAUGCAAGUCGAACGAGUGGCGGACGGGUGAGUAAUGUCUGGGAAACUGCCUGAUGGAGGGGGAUAACUACUGGAACCGGUAGCUAAUACCGCAUACCAUCGGAUGUGCCCAGAUGGGAUUAGCUUGUUGGUGGGGUAACGGCUCACCAAGGCGACGAUCCCUAGCUGGUCUGAGAGGAUGACCAGCCACACUGGAACUGAGAAACGGGCAAGACGCCUACGGGAGGCAGCAGGGGGGAAUAGGGCACAAUGGGAGCAAGCCUGAUGCAGCCAUGCCGCGUGUAUGAAGAAGGCCUGCGGGUUGUAAAGUACUUUCAGCGGGGAGGCGUUACCCGCAGAAGAAGCACCGGCUAACUCCGUGCCAGCAGCCGCGGUAAUUC
rnacentral:rRNA from 1 species